rnacentral:rRNA from 1 species
GACGAACGCUGGCGGCGUGCUUAACACAUGCAAGUCGAACGGAAAGGCCCUGCUUGCAGGGUACUCGAGUGGCGAACGGGUGAGUAACACGUGGGUGAUCUGCCCUGCACUUCGGGAUAAGCCUGGGAAACUGGGUCUAAUACCGGAUAGGAGCCCUUUUUAGUGUGAUGGUUGGAAAGUUUUUUCGGUGUAGGAUGAGCUCGCGGCCUAUCAGCUUGUUGGUGGGGUAAUGGCCUACCAAGGCGGCGACGGGUAGCCGGCCUGAGAGGGUGGACGGCCACAUUGGGACUGAGAUACGGCCCAGACUCCUACGGGAGGCAGCAGUGGGGAAUAUUGCACAAUGGGCGCAAGCCUGAUGCAGCGACGCCGCGUGGGGGAUGACGGCCUUCGGGUUGUAAACUCCUUUCGCUAGGGACGAAGCUUUUUGUGACGGUACCUAGAUAAGAAGCACCGGCUAACUACGUG